GGGCUCGUGGUCUAGCUGGUUAUGACGUCGCCUUCACACGGCGGAGGUCUCGAGUUCGAAUCUCGACGAGCCCA
rnacentral:tRNA from 9 species